GGGCCGUUAGCUCAGUUGGUAGAGCAACUGACUUUUAAUCAGUAGGUCGUAGGUUCGAAUCCUACACGGCUCACCA
rnacentral:tRNA from 5 species